UACGAAGGGGGGCUAGCGUUGUUCGGAAUUACUGGGCGUAAAGCGCGUGUAGGCGGGUCUUUAAGUCAGGGGUGAAAUGCCAGGGCUCAACCUUGGAACUGCCUUUGAUACUGGAGACCUUGAGUCCGGGAGAGGUGAGUGGAAUUGCGAGUGUAGAGGUGAAAUUCGUAGAUAUUCGCAAGAACACCAGUGGCGAAGCGGCUCACUGGCCCGGAACUGACGCUGAGA
rnacentral:rRNA from 1 species